UACGUAGGGUGCAAGCGUUGUCCGGAAUUAUUGGGCGUAAAGAGCUCGUAGGCGGUCUGUCGCGUCUGGUGUGAAAACUCAGGGCUUAACCCUGAGCUUGCAUCGGGUACGGGCAGACUAGAGUGUGCUAGGGGGGACUGGAAUUCCUGGUGUAGCGGUGAAAUGCGCAGAUAUCAGGAGGAACACCGGUGGCGAAGGCGGCAUCCUGGACCGGCAUUGACGCUGAGGAGCGAAAGCUAGGGGAGCAAACGGG
rnacentral:rRNA from 1 species